AUGGAGUAUGCCAACUGUUAUUUCUAAAACUUGUUAGUUUGUUUUGGUCUACAGCUUUUUCAUAGCAUUUAUGCUCUAUAAGGAUGGAUGGCGUUGUGGAGUUUAGGUUUUCACAUGGGUAGUAUUAGUGGUGGUCGAAGACCAAGGUUGAAGGAGCAUUUGGACAAACAAAGGUGCAGAUAUCAGAACAUGGCUUGUAUACAGGUUGUGUUUGGUGCAGGUUUGGAAAGAAAGAAGGAUGAGAGGAAAAACCAUGUAGUUCUGCCGCUUUUCGGAUAAGCAUCGGCGAAUUGCAUCCACUGAGUUCUUGUGAAGGUGCAUCCUGUUGAAAUGAAUGACCUUUCUUGUUUCAUUGUUUCAUUUCCAAUCUCAGUAGUAAGUUUUCAUUCUUGACUAUGGUUGGGUUUUUUCAGUCGCAAUUUCCCAUAACUUGAUGCCAUUUGAGCGCAUCUCGUUUUUCAUUAAUGUGGAAUUACGCAAGGCCACCUAUGAUAUGAAUUGGAUUAGCAAAUGCAUUCAAAGCAAUGUGCUAUACAAAUAAUUUCAAUCUUCACUAUGAGGUUGUCCACAUUUUAUUUGGUUUAUCUAUGUAUUUUACUAUCUUGUUUUUACACGCCUACACUUUUUGGGCCUCUACUUAUCUUGAUAGUUGAACCUCCAUACCGGAGUUUGCAAGGAAAUGUUUUGUACUUCAAUGUACAUUUCUGUUUAUGACUGGUGCAGAGGAAAUAUUUUGUAGUAUGGACCUUUGUUGUGACAUUCAACUUUCUUUUGUUGUCACAUA